rnacentral:lncRNA from 12 species
CAGAAGUGGUUUUGGAAACUUUCUCUGGCCUCCGGCCUGUGGAUCUUCGCGGUAGGUGCAAAGCUGUUGCCCCCCCGGGACCUCCCUCCAUCCAGGUACUUGGCAGCAAGGCUACACUCCCUGCAAGAUGCAUCUGAUUUGGAAGGAGAGGUGCAUAUCGAGUCUGCCCAUCAGCCUUUCUCAAAGUGCACCUCACGGGCCGCCUGCCCCCAGGUCACCCCAGAGCAGGGAGUCACCCCCAGAACCUGCAGUUUUAAUUAUUUCCCCGGGACAUUCUUUGCUCACCAAAGGCUGAGGACCAACAGAUUCUUUUACGUUGAACUUUCUAGAGCAAAGUUGUGCUACUUUUAUAAUAAAAUUAAACUCAAGACCUUGCUUCAGUCCAUCCUCCAGCCACCUUGGGAAGAAGGGACGGCAAGGUCGCAGCCCUCAGGAUGUGCCACUGGUUUUGCCUUUGCUCUGAAUCCAUGUGAUGCUCCAAGAAGAACCUGCGCUGGAGCGCCCACAUGGACUCUUCUCUCCAGAUGGCACCGUCCCAUGAAAGCAGAGGGAACCACAUGGGGCUGGCUCCAGGGCGCCCUGUGCGCAGACCCCGGGGCCAGAAGGACUGUCUUGGUUAUAGGACGGACACCGAGCAGACCUGCUGGAGGCCCACAGGAAAGCAGGAGCGUGAGGCCUACUUCCAAGUUGGCCUUGGUGGAGAGGGCAGCGCCAGGGGCUCCGCGUGGGAGGUGGUUUCCUGGUGCCACAGGCAGAGGCCCGGCCUGGCUUGCGGGUUCUGGGUUUACACUCCUCCCUGUGAGGAGCUCUUGCUUUCUCCAACAUUCCGGUAACCUGGUCUCAGCCUGGCACAGACCUCAUCCUUCCUGAGUGUUCGCUGCUUGACGUCAGCAAAAUUCAACCCCAGGAUGUCUCUCCCCCGAGCGGGCGUCUGUGGUGGGUUGAUCUGAACCUGUUCUGAGGACAGAGCCAGAGGGAUUCGUGGUGUCUCUUGGGAAAAGCCCGCCAGGGACCUCAACCCCUAUCCAGGGAGAACCGUUUCUUUGCAGCAGCUGACACCAGAAGGCUAACCGAGGUGGAUCCUUGCUCUUGAAACUUGACUUCUUCACCACCUGUUCCAGAAAGGGCCUGCUCUCGUCAGCUUCCUGACAAGCACCCGUCCUGUGGCUCCACCCUGAACGCCGCUCCUCGGACUCCAAUCCAGGGGUGAGGGGCUGGUUACAGGCAGACUCUGGGGCCCCCGAGCCAGUGAUUCUGAUUCAGUAGGUGGGGUCCAGGAAUCUGCCUCUGUAACAGGUUCUCUGGGUCACGAUCCAAGCUGUCUGUGCAAGACCCCGGGUCGAACGCUGAGCUAGCUCUGAGAGGAGCUCUGGAAAGAUCCUAGACCUCCAAGAUAUUAUGCAAAAUUAGAUUUUUUUUUUCUUUUGUAAAGAGAAGAUCCAAACCAGUGUUUUCCAAAGUGCAGGUUCCUGGCUGAGGGUGAAGUGGUUUUCGGUUGUGCAUGCAUGUGGCAUUAAAUAACACCGGCUCACACAGUGCAAAAAUUAUGCUCUUUUGCAUCCCUCUGGGUGGUUCAGGGGGAAGGCCUCAUCUGGCAUGGAGACACUUUAGCAUCUCCUGACGCUUCUACUCUCUCUUGUGAACUGAGAGAGAGAAACCCCAGGCCCGAAGACUUCAGCAGCACUGGGCUGGCACAGAGUAAUAGUGGUUUAGAAAUAAUUAUUUCUCAGAAUUGUGAAUAAUGGAGAAAUUACUAUUUAAAAUAAUCACUUCAAGGCAUUUGUUUCAGUAGUUACCUUCUAUUAAUGGCAAGGGGCACUCACUCCCGUGUAUGAUGGCGAUUCCAGG